AUUGAACGCUGGCGGCAUGCCUUACACAUGCAAGUCGAACGGCAGCACGGGGCAACCUGGUGGCGAGUGGCGAACGGGUGAGUAAUGCAUCGGAACGUACCUUUCAGUGGGGGAUAACGUAGCGAAAGUUACGCUAAUACCGCAUAUUCUGUGAGCGGGAAAGCAGGGGAUCGCAAGACCUUGCGCUGAUUGAGCGGCCGAUGUCAGAUUAGCUAGUUGGUGAGGUAAAGGCUCACCAAGGCGACGAUCUGUAGCGGGUCUGAGAGGAUGAUCCGCCAAACUGGAACGUAGACACGGUCCAGACUCCUACGGGAGGCAGCAGUGGGGAAUUUUGGACAAUGGGGGCAACCCUGAUCCAGCCAUGCCGCGUGAGUGAAGAAGGCCUUCGGGUUGUAAAGCUCUUUCGGCCGGGAAGAAAUCGCACGGGCUAAUACCCUGUGUGGAUGACGGUACCGGAAUAAGAAGCACCGGCUAACUACGUGCCAGCCGCCGCAGUAA
rnacentral:rRNA from 1 species